GUGUGGCCUCAUCUGGGGUACUGUGUCCAGUUCUGUUCUCUUCCAUUCAAGAUAGACAGAGAACUGCUGGAGAGAGUCCAGUGCAGGGCAACAAAGCUGCUUCUCUUGACUAAUAGGAAACAAGAAAUCAGCUGUUCAGUGAGAACUGUCAUAAACAAUAUUCUACUUUCUCUGAUGAGCGCUCUACUACAGAUCUUGACAGUAUUGAUCCUGGAUGAGCAAUCAUCUAAGGCUUGAAACAAAGUGGAAUGUCUUCAGGAGGAUGAGGAGGAUGGGCUGAGAUCACCUCUCUCCUGGUGCCUAAUGUGGACUGUGUGCAUUGUUUGAAAAAGUUAAAUUUUUUAAAUCCUCUUAGAGAAGAGAAUUAAACUGUGAUUUCCAAAUUAUGUCUAAGUAACUGUAAAAUCGUUAGACUAAAAACAAAUUUUAUUUAUUUAUUUAAAGACAGUCUUUGAAAUAAAUCCUCUGUGAUGUGACUACGUCUGGCUCGACAAACUCUAGCUCUGAAUUCAACCUUCAAGUUUAUGAGGGUAUCUCUUUAUAACUUGAAGAGAAAUUCUUUUUAAACUACCUUGUGUACUGAUGUGUUAGGUUCAGCAGCUCCCUGCACUCAGUCUUGUUAAUCCUGUUUUGAAGUGUUUUAACUCUCCUAAUAAAUUAUGUAAGAAACCUAAAGCCAAUUAAGGAUGUGGCUGUGUUACAGGAGCCAGAUACAUGUAAAAUAUAGCACUAUAUAAACAUUGCUAUGGUAGCUUUGCCUCUUUUUUCCUUCAAUUACUAAUGUUACCCUUCUCCAAACUGCAGCUGUUGAAUGUAUUCUACCAGUUUUCCUUUUAUUUAUUUAUUUUUUUUGAGGCCAUUAUA